CUAACACUUUCCAACCUGUGCCUUGAAUAGGUUCAUUCUGCUAAGAUCGUGAUUUUUCCCUUUUCAUUAAGCAAAAAAUUUAUAAUCCUGGACAGGUAUGCAGAUAAGUAUAGAAAUGAUGAAAGAAGGUAGAAAAACUUCCCUUCCUCAUUUGAAAAAAAUAAAAGAAAAAUUACAGCCA
rnacentral:lncRNA from 1 species